ACGCUCGACACUUACGGGGGGCAGCAGUAGGGAAUUUUCGUCAAUGGGGGGAACCCUGAACGAGCAAUGCCGCGUGAGUGAAGAAGGUCUUCGGAUCGUAAAGCUCUGUUGUAAGAGAAAAAGGGCGCAUAUAGGAAAUGAUAUGCGAUUGAUGGUAUCUUACCAGAAAGCCACGGCUAACUACGUGCCAGUAGCCGCGGUAAUCUGAGCGGGCUGGCAAGGC
rnacentral:rRNA from 1 species